CAUCGCGAUCACUGAAGCUGCUGCUGCAUGGAGCUCUCGUCGGGGCAGAGCUCAGGCUUCACAGUAGCCAAUGCCGGCCCGACGCAUACGCGCAGUAUGCGGCAGCGUACAGCGCCAGACUCAGGAGGGAGCUGCUCUACUGCAGAGUGUGAGUGACCGUCCGUCACUCAUGCUCUACACCGCCGCGGCCACCCGCUCACCAGCACCUAUCCGCUCUCCUGCCCGCUGGCCCAGGACACAGAAAGCACAGACUGAGCACAGCACAGCUGUGUGUCCUCCUGGCUCCCAGCCCUCCCGCGAUGCAGGGAAACAGGGGGAAGCCGGAGACUGACAGUGCAGCAUUUGGUGACGAAGAGGGAGCUGGAGCUGCACUAUAACAGAGAAGAAAAGAAUUGUUCCACCCUCAUGAAGGUCUGCGCCUAGAUUUUGAAGAAAAUGUAUGAGUUUGCAGUAUGUGGCUGGGACGCACGGUGAGUUGUAGGUGGUGGACCCUCUAAGUGGCUGUAUGUAAUAAUACUGUGCUAUGGAAUAGAGAACUCCCAGCACAGUAUUGGGGUGAAAAUCAUUCUUACCUUUUGGAAUAUCACAGACCAUAGCCGACAUUCGUCCACUAUCAAUGAGGAAGCCAAUGGGCACAUUCCAUCCCGAAGACUUCUGUAAACCUGUGUGACAAGACUUAGUGCCCUUCAGACUGUUUAUGGUGAUAUUAGAGUUCUUCCAGACAACAGCGACAGCAUAAUAUGAGGUCCCCACACCUGUCAAUCAACAUCAAUAAAUGGUGCACCAUCUGAUUCCAUUCAGGCAAAAAACUGGAAAAAAAGAAUCAAUACUUAAAACGAUUUAACAAGCUCAUUCAUUAAUGGCAAUGUUGUUACAUUUUAUAAAAUCAGGUUGCCAUCAUUUAAAAUUCUGAAUAAAUACAUUUAUAAA